rnacentral:rRNA from 1 species
AUUGAACGCUGGCGGCAGGCCUAACACAUGCAAGUCGAACGAGUGGCGGACGGGUGAGUAAUGUAUGGGGCACUGCCCGAUAGCGGGGGAUAACUACUGGAAACGGUAGCUAAUACCGCAUACUAUCGGAUGUGCCCAGAUGGGAGUAGCUAGUAGGUGGGGUAAGGGCUCACCUAGGCGACGAUCCCUAGCUGGUCUGAGAGGAGGACCAGCCACACUGGAACUGAGACACGGUCCAGACUCCUACGGGAGGCAGCAGUGGGGAAUAUUGCACAAUGGGCGCAAGCCUGAUGCAGCCAUGCCGCGUGUAUGAAGAAGGCCUUAGGGUUGUAAAGUACUUUCAGCGAGGAGGCGUUACUCGCAGAAGAAGCAUCGGCUAACUCCGUGCCAGCCGCCGCGGUAAUAC